UACGAAGGGGGCUAGCGUUGUUCGGAUUUACUGGGCGUAAAGCGCACGUAGGCGGAUCGUUAAGUCGGGGGUGAAAUCCUGGAGCUCAACUCCAGAACUGCCUUCGAUACUGGCGAUCUUGAGUCCGGAAGAGGUGAGUGGAAUUCCUGGUGUAGCGGUGAAAUGCGCAGAUAUCAGGAAGAACACCAAUGGCGAAGGCAGCUCUCUGGGACGGUACUGACACUGAGACGCGAAAGCGUGGGGAGCGAACAGG
rnacentral:rRNA from 1 species